UGCCUUCACGUGUUGCCCAUUCAUUGCUUUCUACAAUGAACGCGGCGUCAGAAAAGGUAAACAGCAACACUUGGACCGGCCUUAGCAAGGUUCCUCGCCGAUGACCUUGUCCUAAGUUCUGUACCAAGAACAUUU
rnacentral:snoRNA from 1 species